AUUGAACGCUGGCGGCAGGCCUAACACAUGCAAGUCGAGCGGUAGAGAGAAGCUUGCUUCUCUUGAGAGCGGCGGACGGGUGAGUAAUGCCUAGGAAUCUGCCUGGUAGUGGGGGAUAACGUUCGGAAAACGGACGCUAAUACCGCAUACGUCCUACGGGAGAAAGCAGGGGACCUUCGGGCCUUGCGCUAUCAGAUGAGCCUAGGUCGGAUUAGCUAGUUGGUGAGGUAAUGGCUCACCAAGGCGACGAUCCGUAACUGGUCUGAGAGGAUGAUCAGUCACACUGGAACUGAGACACGGUCCAGACUCCUACGGGAGGCAGCAGUGGGGAAUAUUGGACAAUGGGCGAAAGCCUGAUCCAGCCAUGCCGCGUGUGUGAAGAAGGUCUUCGGAUUGUAAAGCACUUUAAAGUU
rnacentral:rRNA from 1 species